AGUCUUAUUCCACUGCGAUACGCAGUAGUCAGUUGACCACAGAGGAUUUUAUAAAGGAGAAGAGAGACCAGCAUAGGACAGAGAUACAUCAAACCCACCUCUCACCAGAGACACCAGUCCCUUGCUUGCCUCUGUCGCUAAGCCCAGAACAUGCCCUGCAGCUGCUCCUCUGGAGGCCAUCUCCCAGCCAGGGGCUCCACUGCUCCACUUUAAUUAAUCUGGGUGGCUGAAAGUGUUUUAACCCAAGUAACUUAAGACAUGAAUUAAUAGUGAAUUUAUUUCCUCUAGGACAGAACCAGACUUAACUUUAUUAGUAAACUGUAACUGUUUUAGAAGUAAAGAAAAAAAAGGUUACUACAUCUAGUUAAAUUCACUUCCGAUUGGUUGAAACACAAGGGAGGGGCUGGGCCGGGUGGCUCACACCUGUAAUCGGAGCACUUUGGGAGGCCAAGGCAGGUGGAUCACUUGAGGCCAGGAGUUCGAGACCAGCCUGGCCAACAUGGUGAAACCUUGUCUCUACUAAAAUACAGAAAUUAGCUGGGCAUGGUGGCACAUGCUUGUAAUCCCAGCUACUUGGGAGGGAAAGCUCUUUUGGUUAACAGCAUAUUUACAAUUAGUUAACUGUAUUCUUAAAUACUUUUAACCUGAGUAACAUUUAUAAAUAUGUUAU
rnacentral:lncRNA from 10 species